CGUAAGCGUGUGACUUUUAAUUCGUGACGUGCUUUCAUGGGCGUGCGCGCGGACCGGAUGGAGUUGGCAUGGAAACGGAGCGCAACACUGCAAAUGUCACGAGGAAACACCCCGUUUCUAGCUGAUUUCUCUGUUUUCAGGAAUGGUUUAAUGUCUUCGAAAAAGUCCGAUAGCGUUUCUACCGUUUUCAGACGACGUAUCGUCAGAAGUGAGUGUCCAAGAUUUCAAUAUUUCUGAAGGGAGCUGC